AUUGAACGCUGGCGGCAGGCCUAACACAUGCAAGUCGAGCGGAUGAAGGGAGCUUGCUCCUGGAUUCAGCGGCGGACGGGUGAGUAAUGCCUAGGAAUCUGCCUGGUAGUUGGGGAUAACGUCCGGAAACGGGCGCUAAUACCGCAUACGUCCUGAGGGAGAAAGUGGGGGAUCUUCGGACCUCACGCUAUCAGAUGAGCCUAGGUCGGAUUAGCUAGUUGGUGGGGUAAAGGCCUACCAAGGCGACGAUCCGUAGCUGGUCUGAGAGGAUGAUCAGUCACACUGGAACUGAGACACGGUCCAGACUCCUACGGGAGGCAGCAGUGGGGAAUAUUGGACAAUGGGUGAAAGCCUGAUCCAGCCAUGCCGCGUGUGUGAAGAAGGUCUUCGGAUUGUAAAGCACUUUAAGUUGGGAGGAAGGGCAGUAAGUUAAUACCUUGCUGUUUUGACGUUACCAACAGAAUAAGCACCGGCUAACUUCGUG
rnacentral:rRNA from 1 species